AUAACUCCUUAGGGCCGUCCUUUUGGUCUGCUGGAGUUUCUUUUUGGCGCCAGUUUCCCUCAGACAACUAGACGCCUGACCUGGUCUGGUCCCCACCCUGGCUUCAUGGACAGUGACGGCAAAGCCCGUCGCGGUACAACACCUUGAUCCUCAAAUGGCUCAGGAAGAUCAACGGCUCCCAAACAGCCGCGCGCCUGUUGCCAUGACGACUGGGCGAGAGGCCGGAAGCGAGGCCUAGCGUGGGGUCGCCUUACGAUCUCUUGGUGGCCGCGCCGCGCCCAAACCAGGAAGAUUUGCCUGAUAACUAGGCAGCCGCUCAUGUUCAUCAUCUGACCUGAUGGGACCAAGCCAGCCAGCUUCUACAUGUGUUCAUCUAGCACCCAGUCUCCAACUGGAUGCCAUGAGUGACCCCAGGAACCUUCAGCCCCAGAACCAGCUGCAAUUUAAUAGGAAUGUUCCUACAAAUCCCAGCAACUUGGCAGUCCGGUACUCUUGCCCACAUGGAAUUAAAAUUGAAAAACUGAAACACUCAUACAAUGAAUUGAAUCAUGGUAAAGACUUGGAUUUUAAAGCUGGAAAUGAAUUAAGCAGUUCUGUCUCAUUUUCUGUCAUAUCAGAAGAGAGGCUUAGCUAUGCUGUCCACCUAGCCAAGAGAGAUGUAAAACGAAGACAAUUUGAAGAACACGUGAAAGAUCAUCUCAGAAGUCUGCCCCAUAGCUCUCACAAAGGUAUGCACACCAAGGUGGAAAGGAAGGACUCCAAGAGUCAGGAUGUCUGUCAUUGCAGCCACCAGCCGUCCAGAGUAAGCCUCUCCAGCUCGGGCGCUAAGGUGUAUGUGUACACAUCUCAGCCAGGACGAGCUGAUCUUACUGUGCCAAAUUCACCACCUACCCAUGAUCCAGGACUUCAGCCGCAACCCAGAAUAGAGGAGAACAAAAACCUGUGGGAACAGAAAGGCCUGCUAGAAGUUCAGCGACUCCAAAAGGAAUUGAGUGGUUGUAUCCGUAAGAUAGAAGCACUAACGAAAAAAGAUAGACUAGAAGAGGCUUUGGAUCCAGAUGAAGAGCAUCGAAUCCGAGUCAGGAGACAGGAGCAAGCCGUGCGCUGUGCCCGCAUGCUCUACGUUCUUCAGCAGCAGGUAAAAGAAAUCCAGGAAGAAUUGGAUAAAUUGAGUCCACAAAAAAUUAAACAUACUAAGAAGUCAUGGGCAGUGUCUAGGCUGGCAGCCGCUCAUCGAGCAGCCAUCCGGGCCUUGCAAGUGUUUGUCACUCAGUUUACUGACCGAGGGGAGCACCCAGUUCCUGCUCGGUGUAGGGAGCUGGGCAGCCUUAUUCGUCAGCUGUCGCUGUGUUCCGCCAAGCUGGAUGCUGAUCCUUCUGUGCCAGACGUGGUCAUAGACAUCUUGCAGCAAAUCGAGGCUUUGGAGUCUCUCCUGGAAAAGAAAUUGUCACCUAAAAAGGCAAAGAAAUGUUUCACAGAAAUUCGGAGCAGAUUUCCUGUUGGUAGCCAAAAGAUCUUAGAGAGAUGGCCAACUGUACUGCCCAAAAGUGAGAGGAGACCCUUGGUCACAAAGGAGACAUUCCCACAGGAAACCAGUCGACCUCCUGUGGCAAAGAGGCUUCUUGCAGGACUGGAACCCAGAGCAUCCCACAUGCUGAAACAAGUUUUCAGAGCUAGGCAUGGUGGCAUACACCUUUAAUCCUAGCACUCUAGAGACAGAGACGAGUUCCAGGACAGCCGGGGCCACACAGAGAAACUCUGCCUAGAAAAACAAACAAACAAACAAACAAACAAACAAACCAAGAUGUUUUAAAUCUGAGGCUGGAGAGAUGGCUCAGUGGUUAAGAGCACUGGCUGCUCUUCCAGAGAAUCUGGGUUUGGUUUCCAGUACCCACAUGGUAGCACAUAGCUAUCUAUAACUCCAGUUCCAGAAGAUCCAAGCUAUGUGUCAGCCUGAUGGGGAGCUUCAGAGGCUGGAGAGUGAACCCGAUGUGCUGGAUGCACAUCUUCUUCCAGAAGAAGCCCCUCGUAUAGAGGACAAUGGUACAGACUUCAAAGACGGAACAUUAACCCCAGCCAAACCACAGGCAGUGAGAAGGAAGGCUUUGACAGGGUCCAUGCCGAUUAGGAAGAAAGAUACUGUGGAGUCAGCCAGACCACAGCAGGGACUCCACAUAGCUGAAAGAAAUCGACCAAACCAACCUUACAGCAAAAGCAGGUUGCAGCAGACAACAGUGUCAUCCAGAUUAAAAAUGAACCGACAGCCUAUGAAAGACCAUAGGGCUCCUUGGAUACCUCCAAACCCCACAUCCCCACCAGCCUCUCCUAAAUGUGCUGCGUGGAUGAAGGUGAAGUACAGCCCCAGGGAUGCUGCAAAGGAGCAGUCCCUACAGCAAGAGGAUACCCACAAGGAAAGUCAGCUGAGAGGUGAUGCUGAGCAAGAAGCAGCCAGGCUUUCUUGGCCAGAUGCUGAGUCUUCCAAAAGACUGAAGGAACUAGAAGAAUUGGAAGCCAAAGAAAUGGAAAGAAAGCAAAAGCAGAGGCUCAAUUGGCUUGAGGCUGAGACUUCUAGAAGAACCAAAGAGUUGGAUGAACUGAAAGCUGAAGAGAUGGAUAGACUUCAAAAAUUAAGUGUCUCUGCCACCCAGUUAGCUGACAAGGUGGAGGAGGCAGUUCUGGAGCGGUUGAAGCCCCUCUUGAUCAAGGCCCAGAGAGUGAAUUCUUCGGUGGAAGCAAAUAGUCAUUUGAAGGAUCGUCCGUCACGGCACGCAGCAGCAGCAGCCCAGCCUGCCGAGCAGGCUUCAGAUGUACGUUUUGAAUCCAGGAAUAUUCCUCAGCUGCGUGACUGUUUGGAAGAUACUGCUCAUGAGCUCUGGGCUAGGACUCAGGAUAAGAUCUUGGGGUCAGAAACUUCAGCCAGAUUGGGGGACAGCAAGGACAGCCCAGAUCUAGAGACCAUGAUGCUCCGGAUGGAAGAAAUGGAAAAAUACCAGGAGACAGUUCGCCAAAGAUAUAAUAAAAUUGUAUACGCUGACCCUCACUUAUGGAUGCACGAAGAAAGAAAUGACCAGAACACCCCAGCUGUAAGUGAAGGACCUUUGGCUUCCCACCCAAUCAAGAUCACCAAGACAGCAACUCAAAAGUGCCCUGCUGUGAACAUCUUGUUAGAAAGGCCCUGCAAUGCCAACUCACUGGAUGAAAGUGUAACAACAGAGGAGGGAUCGGAGAAAAGGGAGGCUCCCCUGCCCCUCUCCAGAGAAGACCUGCAUCAGAGAAAAGGGCAAACUCCCCUCUCAGUCCCACCCAGGAUGCGGCACAGCAUUGGUGCUUACUGUAGCCGGUUUGAGCAAUUCCUACGGAUCAUAGCUCAUGAGGCUAUAGGCUCCUUCAACCCAUGGCUAAUAGCUGAAAGCUUUUCAGAUGAGCUGGUAGAUGAAGCACUGGGGGCCGUGGCUGCAGAACUGCAGGAUGUGUGUGAAGACUAUGCAGAAGCUGUGUUCACCUCAGAGUUCCUAGAGGCCGCUGCAUGAGAGCUGUCCAGGCAGGGCCCUCAGAUCACUGCCGGAGAGUCAGCGCCACCCGCUGUCAGCCCGUGGGGGAAUCUCUGUCCUCAGCUGCCCACUGAAGGAUGCCAGGGAGCUCACCCUCUCCUUGUCUUAGCAGUGCUUCUAGAAGUUAUAAAAAGGUGGGUUACAUUUGCUAGCGCCUGAGGAGCAUGAGACAAUUAGAAAGGUACAACAUUUCAGAAUGUAUAAUUUUCCUCUGACUCAGUUGGAAAUCAAAAUGUUUUGAAAGGUAAUGGAUAAAGAUAUUUCACAUAGGGAUUCCAGCCUCUGUUAAACCCAUGGGGGUGGAGGGAUCAGUGCUAAUCCAAGUGCCGUUACUGUCUGGUCCCAGCACCUGGCUCCUGUUGGCAAGUGUGCUCAUCACAUUGUCACUGGUGGUGUCGCCUUCCUGGGCGGCAAGCUACAUGGAAUGCAGAGUGGUGGUGCCACUAAGCCUCUGCUCAGUGGCAGUGGAAGUGGGGAGCCCAGCGCACGGGCACACGGAACACACAGGCCCAAGCACACCUUGCUCCGUGGCUCUCACUUUCUAGGGUGUUUCACGUUCUCAGUUUCUCAGAGUCACUUAUUGCUGUUUGGACACAUGCUAGUAUAAAAAGCAUUUCUCUGAAUAUAGAAGAAUUUGAAGACAGGCCUUCCCCAUGCCAGCUCACUCCCAGAGAGCAGAAGCGUCUGCACCAUGGAGCAUCCCAUCUGGAGGAGGGAAUCAAGCCGGUGACUUGAGGACUUUGGGCUCUUCUGAGGACCAACGAUGCUGCGUGGCCUUUGAAGGCUCUUAGGUCCCGGUGGCAAGGUCCUCAGGACUCGGGAUUGAGAAACAGAAAAGGAAUGUGCGUACAAAUAGGCAGUCACCCGAAAAGACUUUUCCUGGAUCCGUUUGCCUCAGCUAUUUGUGGGAGGCUUGGUGAAGGAAGGGUAAGGAACAAAGGGAGAGACACCCAAGGACGAAUGUGAGUCUGUUACCACAGACGCCUCGACAUGGUCUCCUGGGGUGGUUUCUAAGGUACCUUCCUGUUUAAUACUACAUAACCUCGGAAAGGACAUCAAGGGACUCAUAGGUCUUCAGUCUGGAGAGUUAAACAUGUACACUUGAACCGGUAGAAUCCCUUGUCAUUGGUAGUCCUCAUUUGUCAUUUGCGGUUUUUACUGUGCUGAUUAAAAAAAAAUAAACUCAGUAUUUUAAAUUGUGAACAUGUCUAUUUGAAGUAAUUUACAUCUCCUUUUUCCCACAGGUAAUGUGAAAUGGAAUUUACAGGAACCACUGGGAAGGGAAUACUUUUGUAUUUGAUAUGAACAUAGUAGACUAUUUGCCACCUCAGAGAAAAAGGAAUGCUAAUAAAACCUAACAUUUAUUGAGCA